UGGUCAUGGUCUCCUAAAGCCUUCACAUCAAUGUGCUCAAGAGGUGUUUGCCUGUUAUUAUUUUCUUAGGCUUCAAGGUGAAGAUGUUAGAUAAUCAUGCAAAUGAUUGUCUUGUCGGAUGUAAGGCAGCUCAGGUAUGGUUCAAUAAUCUGUAUAUCUUUCAUGAUUGCAAGGGGCUAUGGAUGGGGCAUAUCUUGGAUAAAAAGGC
rnacentral:lncRNA from 1 species